GGCCAUGGGACCUUGAUUCCUAGGUUGGAUUUUUCUCUCACCACAGCGGGGGCAGAUUGGAUUUUUCUCCCUCUUUCUUGUUGCCAAGUUUCUUCAAGGCUACGUUGUAGCAAUUUGAGAGUCUAAAGGAUCAGCUUCCAGUGGAACCCAAAGACAAGGAAGAGCUUCUGACUGUGACUAGACUCCCAAUGGAUCCAUCAGACAUUAAUCCAACCCGGACUCAGGCUUGUCCUCAAAUGUUCGUUGAGGAAAAUUCCCAGGAAAUGCCAGCUGCCUCUCAACCCGUCUCCGAUGUGUUCAUACAGAACCUCAGUAACUUGACGCUCAACCCUAGUGCACGGGUGACAUCCAUUCACCCAGAAUAUCCACCUCAACCAACUGAACAGAGACCCGCCUUUCAAUCUGUCUCCGAUGUAUUCAUAAAGAACUUCAGUCAUUUGACUCUCGACCUGAAUACAAAAUUGCCAUCCAUUCAACCAGAAUAUCCAUCGCAAGCAACUAGGGGGCGACUUGGGGAAGAUGUCAUCUACAGGAAGAAAGGGGUGAGGAUGAUGCUGAGUGCUCGCAGACCGAGAGUGGAAUGGCUGAUUCGAUACACGGUUCGGCGAACCUCUGACAAAAUCAAGAAUGGAAAGACUUAAAUAACACCUGUACUUACUGCCUGUAUAAUAGAGAUCCUGCUGAGGGUAAUUAUGAGAAUAAUUAUAAUAGUACUUAUGACGAUGUUGAUGACAGUAAUUCUGACGCCGAGUAGGUUGAGGCAUCACCUUAUUCUUUACUGUUUUUUUUCUCACUAGUAAUUGUAGGAUGAUUAUAUAGCGGCUUGGAAAAGAUUGUGAACCAAUACUUUGAUAACCUAUAAGUUCUCUGAUACCUCUUUUCCUAUAUCUCUUUUUCUACCUACUAAAUACAGGUAACUUAUGAGGAAUCUAUAUAGUUUGCAUUUGAGGGACUUGACUGUACUUUAGUUCCACUUUGAUUUGACACAAAGAAGCACUAACUGGUCUCAGGUUUUGCCUGUUUUGGAAGCCUCGAGUCCAGACAUGAAACCCAGUAUCAAGAAUUUGAAACAGGAGUUCUCAUCAUGGCUCAGUGAUGAUGAACCUGACUAGUAUCCAUGAGGUCCAGGGUUCGAUCUCUGGCCUUGCUCAGUGGGUUAAAGUUUUUGGCAUUGCCGUGAGCUUCUGUGUAGGCUGCAGAUGAGGCUCAGAUCUGGUGUUGCUGUGUCUGGGGCAUAGGCCAGCAGCUGCAGCUCCAAUUCAACCCCCUGCCUGGGAACUUCCAAGUGCCGGCCCUAAAAAGACCAAAAAAAAAAAAAAAGAAUGUGAAGCAAAUCAACUUGUGUGGGAAGAAUCUAAAGAAAAUGUUGGUAGUUUGGCUAGAAUAUCACUAGAGCAGCUAUUGAAUUGUUAGAAAAAUUUUUGAUGUGCUGUUUUAAUUUUCCGUAGCAAAUAAAUGUGUGCAUAGAGGAUGAUCUGAUUAAAACUUGAGACAUUUGAGUACCUUUAAAUAAAAUUCUUGUUCUUAUUUUAAACUUAUUAUUGCUAGCUAUGUAAAUAAACAAUACUUACCCCAUCACAUUCCCAGGAUAUAAAUAUCUGACAUUCUCAUUUCUGGUAAGACUGUCCUGUUGGGAAGGAAGUUUGUCUGUCUUCAGAGUCCACGUUUUGUUUUUUUUUUUUCUGGUUUUUUUUGUUUUUGUCUUUUUCCCUUUUCUAGGGCCACUCCCGCGGCAUAUGGAGGUUCCUAGGCUAGGGGUUGAAUCGGAGCUGUAGCCACCAGCCUAACCAGAGCCACAGCAACGCAGGGUCUGAGCCGCAUCUGCAACCUACACCACAGCUCACAGCAAUGCCAGAUCCUUAACCCACUGAGCAAGGCCAGGGACCGAACCCGCAACCUCAUGGUUCCUAGUUGGAUUCGUUAACCACUGAGCCAUGACGGGAACUCCCAGAGUCCACGUUUUUAGUCACUCCUCUGGUCCUCACUUGGAAUGUCGUUUUUCCAGGGAGCAGCCCUGAUCUUUCAGUUUGAGGUGAAAUGUCUCACACUACGGCCUCAGGAUCCUGGACUCACCCGAUCACGUUGUCAUUGUCUGCUUUCUUAUCAGUCACCUGAGCAGAAUGCAAACUCCGCAAAAGAAAGGGGAACCUCUGUUCUUCAAGAGUGUCACUAGGGUGGUGGCAUUGACCCUGUCUUGCCUGUGACCCACAGUAAGAAAUACACCCAGCACUGGGAAUUAUGUCUAGUCACUUAUGAUGGAGCAUGAUAAUGUGAGAAAAAAGAAUGUAUACAUGUUUGUGUAACUGGGUCACCAUGCUGUACAGUAGGAAAAAUGUAUUGGGGAAAUGUUCAAAAAUUAAAUAAAAAUUAAAAUUAAAAAAAGAAUAUACCCAGUACAUGUCCAGAUAAAUAUUACUAGCUAAAAAUUUUCAGGAAAGAAUGAUUAGCUAUUGCACAAUGCACUCUGAUAUUUUCUACAGUUCCUUUUAAAAAAUUUUUUUAAAUGCUGGUAGAGAUACACAGUUUAUUUCACUAUUCAUUAGUGAGUCAAAGCCAAGUUUGAAAAGCACCAACUUAGUGCAUUGCCUGGAGCAAAGCUGGUGCAUCAUAAAUAAUUUAAUCAUUCAUUCAUUUUUAAAUCACAUGGGCAUGUAUAUUUCACACUCAUAUAUAAUAAGUCAAAAUAUUCAGAAAAAUGAGUACAUUAGUUUUCAAGGUUGUUUUGACUUUUGUCCGUUUUCCCUCUCCCCUCUCAAAACUUGUGAAUUCUGCCAGUAGUUUUGUAACAGCAAAGAUAAACUUGAGGGAAGUUUGAAAAGAGGUUAAAGAAGUUAAUCCUAAGAGUAAAGGUCAUGAGCCACAUCUUUUCUAUUGUCUUCUGACCUUUUUGGGAGGCAAGAACACUUUUAAGAUUUGUUAUCUAAGCAUGCAAGACUUACAACACUUAUGCAGCAUUGUUACCCAAAGACUAAAAAUACCCCACCUAUCCUUAUCAAUUGCAAAUUUAUGGAGAGCUUUUUGUUUUCUUUGCUCUAGGCCCAGACAUUAAGGGCAGUCUUUUAGAUAAGAUAGGCAAUGUAAACAUUUCAGCAUUAGUAUCUUAUUUUCUUUGUCUUUGGAGAAACCAAAACAAUUCACAAACCUGUUAUCCAGAAGAGAAAUUGUUUACAAACAAGAAUUUAAAUUUUAAACUGUGUUUCUUGUGAGUUCCCGAUAUGGCUCAUCAAGUUAAGAGCCUGACUGGUAUCCAGGAGGAUUUGGGUUUAAUCCCUGGCCUUCCCCAGUGGAUUAAAGGAUUCUUCAUUCGCCCCAAGCUAUGGUGUAGGUUGCAGAUGCAGGUCGGAUCUGGCAUUUCUGUGGCUGUGUUGUGUGCAGGCAGCUGCAGCUUCAGUUCCACCCUUAGCCUGGAAACUUCCAUAUGAGGUAGGCAUGCCCCCAACCCCCA
rnacentral:lncRNA from 1 species